rnacentral:rRNA from 1 species
CCUACGGGAGGCAGCAGUAGGGAAUCUUCCACAAUGGACGAAAGUCUGAUGGAGCAACGCCGCGUGAGUGAAGAAGGGUUUCGGCUCGUAAAGCUCUGUUGGUAGUGAAGAAAGAUAGAGGUCGUAACUUGCCUUUAUUUGACUGUAAUUUCUUAUAAAGUCACGGCUAACUACGUGCCAGCAGCCGCGGUAAUACGUAGGUGGCAAACGUUGUCCGUGUUUAUUGGGCGUAAAGCGAGUGCAGGCGGUUGAAUAAGUCUGAUGUGAAAGCCUUCGGCUCAACCGGAGAAUUGCAUUAGAAACUGGUGAACUUGAGUGCAGAAGAGGAGAGUGGAACGCCAUGUGUAGCGGUGGAAUGCGUAGAUAUAUGGAAGAACACCAGUGGCGAAGGCGGCUCUCUGGUCUGCAACUGACGCUGAGGCUCGAAAGCAUGGGUAGCGAACAGGAUUAGAUACCCGGGUAGUC